CCCUUAGAUGUUCUGGGCUGCACGCGCGCGACAAUGACGUUUGCAACGAGAUUGCGAGGCCGUCAGGUCGAGCUGAUCUUGCAAGCUGCGUCGUGAUAGGGACAGUCGAUUGCAAUUAUUCGACUCGAACGAGGAAUUCCUUGUAAUCGCGCAUCAUCAGUGCGCGCUGAAUACGUCCCUGCCCUUUGUACACACCGCCCGUCGCUCCUACCGAUUGAAUGUUUCGGUGAAGAUUCCGGAUAGGACUUUUUUGAUUUAUUUCAAUUUUGUCUUAAAAGCUAUCUAAACCUCAACAUUUAGAGGAAGGUGAAGUCGUAACA
rnacentral:rRNA from 1 species